rnacentral:tRNA from 1 species
GGUGGCUCAGUGGUAGGGUGCUUGCCUUGCAUGCAUGAGGCCCUGGGUUCGGUUCCCCAGCACCA